rnacentral:rRNA from 1 species
ACUCCUACGGGAGGCAGCAGUGGGGAAUAUUGCACAAUGGGCGCAAGCCUGAUGCAGCCAUGCCGCGUGUGUGAAGAAGGCCUUCGGGUUGUAAAGCACUUUCAGUCGUGAGGAAGGUAGUGUAGUUAAUAGCUGCAUUAUUUGUACGUUAGCGACAGAAGAAGCACCGGCUAACUCCGUGCCAGCAGCCGCGGUAAUACGGAGGGUGCGAGCGUUAAUCGGAAUUACUGGGCGUAAAGCGCAUGCAGGUGGUUUGUUAAGUCAGAUGUGAAAGCCCGGGGCUCAACCUCGGAAUAGCAUUUGAAACUGGCAGACUAGAGUACUGUAGAGGGGGUAGAAUUUCAGGUGUAGCGGUGAAAUGCGUAGAGAUCUAGAAGGAAUACCGGUGGCGAAGGCGGCCCCUGGACAGAUACUGACACUCAGAUGCGAAAGCGUGGGAGC